UUAUUUUCUUCAUCUGAUAAAACACUUAACUGCAUUGAAGUCGAGUUCAAUGCGCAUCAACCUGAUCAACGGUAAUUGGGUUCCUCCUAUGGAUGGUUGUAUUAAAAUAAAUUUUGAUGCUUCGUUUGAUCAAGAGACAGCAAGAAUGGGUAUUGGAGUCAUAGUAAGGGAUGCAAUGGGAAGAUUAAUUAAUGGUGUCUCUCCUUUUCUUGCUUUUCCCUAUCACCUUUAGUAGCUGGAGGUCAAUCUCUGCGUAUAGCGUUAAUGUGCGCUAUUGGCAGGAAUUUUUCUGUUGUUAUAGUUGAAUCCCUCAAUUCAGUUGGUUCAGGCGUUCUCUUCUCAGCUUUUACCUCCUUGUUGGGAGCUGGAGGCUAUUAGUCAAGAUGUUAAGUGG
rnacentral:misc_RNA from 1 species